AUUGAACGCUGGCGGCAUGCCUUACACAUGCAAGUCGAACGGCAGCGGACCUUCGGGUGCCGGCGAGUGGCGAACGGGUGAGUAAUAUAUCGGAACGUACCUUUCAGUGGGGGAUAACGUAGCGAAAGUUACGCUAAUACCGCAUAUUCUGUGAGCAGGAAAGCAGGGGAUCGCAAGACCUUGCGCUGAUUGAGCGGCCGAUAUCAGAUUAGCUAGUUGGUGAGGUAAAGGCUCACCAAGGCGACGAUCUGUAGCGGGUCUGAGAGGAUGAUCCGCCACACUGGAACUGAGACACGGUCCAGACUCCUACGGGAGGCAGCAGUGAGGAAUAUUGGGCAAUGGGCGAAGCCUGACCCAGCCACGCCGCGUGAGUGAUGAAGGCCCUCGGGUCGUAAAGCUCUGUGGAGAGGGACGAAAACCCUGGUUUCAAAUAGGCUCCAGGCUUGACGGUACCUCUUUAGCAAGCACCGGCUAACUCUGUG
rnacentral:rRNA from 1 species